rnacentral:rRNA from 1 species
UAGGAGGCAGCAGUGGGGAAUAUUGGACAAUGGGCGAAAGCCUGAUCCAGCAAUGCCGCGUGAGUGAAGAAGGCCUUAGGGUUGUAAAGCUCUUUCACCCGCGACGAUGAUGACGGUAGCGGGAGAAGAAGCCCCGGCUAAUUCCGUGCCAGCAGCCGCGGUAAUACGGAAGGGGCUAGCGUUGUUCGGAAUCACUGGGCGUAAAGCGCGCGUAGGCGGCCGGUCAAGUGCGGCGUGAAAGUCCUGGGCUCAACCCGGGGACGGCGCUGCGGACUGUCCGGCUGGAGUCCGGAAGAGGGUGGUGGAAUUCCGAGUGUAGAGGUGAAAUUCGUAGAUAUUCGGAGGAACACCGGUGGCGAAGGCGGCCACCUGGUCCGGUACUGACGCUCAAGCGCGAAAGCGUGGGGAGCAAACAGGAUUAGAUACCCCCGUAGUCCA